UAUUACUUUUAAUGUUAAACACCAAUUGCGAAUGGAAGAUCGAAUUUGGAUCCAACUCCAAUCCGGCUCAGAAUUCCGGUGCGGUGGAUUUUCAGAGAAUCGCAGAGUCAUCACUGCGGUGGUUACGUGGCGAAGUGGUCACGCGAGAGGGAAGUGAAGUGAGCUUCUCAGAGAUGAACUGUGAAGAAUGAGCUCUAAUCUUUGAGCAAAAAGCAACCGAUUCUGAAUAUGAGGGUAGAGAGCUUGAGAGUGAAGAGUGAAGAUUGAAGGUGAGGAAUGAAAAAACUAGAAAAGCUUCUGAUUGCACUGUUAUAUACAUGGUAUUCUCAACCAAAUCGGGCAACGGAUCGGGCAGGGAUAAGUCAAAAUUGGACCUUAGCUUGCAGUUCAGCUGGAUUUGCACGUUACUUCUAUGAAGGUUUGUUGUGGUUGGAAG